GGUCCAUUCGUCUAUUGGUUAGGACACAAGAUUUUCAUUCUUGAAAGAGGGGUUCGAUUCCCCUAUGGACUA
rnacentral:tRNA from 2 species